rnacentral:rRNA from 1 species
CCUACGGGGGGCUGCAGUGGGGAAUAUUGGGCAAUGGACGCAAGUCUGACCCAGCAACGCCGCGUGAAGGAAGAAGGCUUUCGGGUUGUAAACUUCUUUUAAGGGGGAAGAGCAGAAGACGGUACCCCUUGAAUCAGCUACGGCUAACUACGUGACAGCAGCCGCGGUAAUUCGUAGGUGGCAAGCGUUGUCCGGAUUUACUGGGUGUAAAGGGCGUGCAGCCGGAGGUACAAGUCAGAUGUGAACUCCAUGGGCUCAACCCGUGAACUGCAUUUGACACUGUAUCCCUUGAGUGUCGAAGAGGUAAUCGGAAUUCCAUGUGUAGCGGUGAAAUGCGUAGAGAUAAGGAAGAACACCAGUGGCGAAGGCGGAUUACUGGACGAUAACUGACGGUGAGGCGCGAAAGCGUGGGGAGCAAACAGGAUUAGAUACCCCUGUAGUC